rnacentral:sRNA from 1 species
AAUGCUAGUUAAUUAAUCGCUUCUUGUCAGAAUUCAAGUAACCGUUUAUACUUUUUUACUUUGCAUCCGUUUUCCACACUGCUUGUUUUGUAUUUUUCAUAGAAAAAAAGGAAGAAAAACAACAUAAGUUUAUCAACUACAGAAAAAGUUGUGACCUUCUUUGUUUCUCGACAUCAUAUAUAGAGCAAAAUGCUUUAUUUAUAUCUUCAUUGCGUCCAUACAUAGCCUGACUUACUUUGAAAAUAUUGUGCAGAUCGUUAAUUAAUUUGAAAGAAGAUGAUGGAUUAUGAUGAUGCACGUGGUGAAAGGCCAAGAUUGCUUGUGGUGGCUAACAGGCUUCCGGUUUCUGCAAAGAGGACCGGGGAAAAUUCUUGGUCUCUGGAAAUGAGUCCUGGUGGUUUAGUCAGUGGUCUUCUAGGUGAGUCAUGAGACAACAAUAAUAAUAACAAUGAUUUUAGUAAAGACUAUAAUGUUUUACUGUUAUGGUUUUGAAGGUAUAACAUCUCAAUUUGAUACCAAAUGGGUUGGAUGGCCCGGAGUUGAUGUGCAUGAUGAAAUUGAAAAAAAUGCACUCACUGAAUCUCUAGCCGAAAUGGUACGAAUUUGAUCCCAACAUGUCCAUGUGUAUAUUGAAAGAUUAGCGGUUAGGAAUCUUAUGUUAAAAGGAAUCGUAUAGAUGCAUAUAAUCUCGUACAUAAGAG